UAUAUAUAUGAACCAAUAUCACCAGCAUUGUCUUUGUUAUCUACGAAUAAGAAAGGACCAGCGUCAGCCACCAGCAGCUCACCCGGUUUUGAUAUAAGAUUUAGUGACAGUGAAAAAUCAUCUCCUCUCAUGAUUCAGAGGCAAAAAAUCUUUCGUGUAAUCGUUUGCCACACGAUACGCCGUUAGCAUAUGUACCAAGUAGGAGCCCAAAAAAAGUCUAGAGAGCUUUACAAUACGAUUCAACCGAUAGCAGUGUAAAAAAUGAUUCGGAGGAAUUAGCUCGAGACUGGUUUGUGAAGUUUUGAAUUCAAGUUGCAUUACUGGAAAGGUACAUAUACCACGACCUGGCAACCCUUUAUGGUUACGAGCAAAGAUGGUGAAAUACCUUGGACAGACACUCUUCUAAAAGAUUCAGUCAUUCUCUGCUCGUUCGAACUUGACGAUAACAGACAUCUCCAAGAAAAUACCAGAAAAUAUUUAAAACGGUGGUAUCGGGAGGAAGCUAAAAGGGCUAAGGGUCUGGAUUAAUUUAAAAAACAAAAUAUUUUCUACGCUUGUACCUAUAAUUAUACAGACGCAAGAUGCUAAAUUUUUAAGUGCAGAACCAUUGGAGAAUAUUACCCUCAAUAUCAUUAUCGCAUGCUAACUAAAAUGUAUGCCAACAUUCAAAUGACUCAUUUAUCUUCAGGAAUAAUCACUGAUAUGAAUAAUAAAAACUCCCUAAGUAUGGACUGCAUUGUUUUGAGCUUUUAUAUUAACCCAUUGUAGAUACAGUGCACUACGUUACUCGGGCACCCCUAUAUGUCUCUCACGUUGAGAUAUAGCUAGGGGUUUCCGAAAUUCGGACACCCUUAUAUGUCUCUCACAUUUAGAUAUAAGGGUUCCGAAAUUCGGACACCCCUAUUUGUCUCUCGCAUUGUGAUAUAGGGUUUCC